rnacentral:lncRNA from 10 species
UGCAAUCCAUAAAUUUAGUUACAUCAAUCAUUUAUUGUAAACUUACACGGGUAAAUUACAACAAAAAUCCUGGAAAUUCAUAAAUUAUCACUUUGCCUGGUGUUCACUCUUUUGCAUGUAGUGAUUUUUUUUUACUUGUGUUUAAUAGGAGUUUUGCUGGUGGUUAAGUAUAUAUUUCAAUGGUCCGUGUAAAGGAAACAACAGUAGACAAAGAAAAUUGUAUUUCUCGGCUGACUGUAUUGUCUUUCCUGAGGACCCUCAUCAUAACAACUUUUUCUCUGGUGGUAAGAAUUAAAAAUCAGUGAAUGUCUGAUCAGUGAAUGGAAGCCAGUCUCUGUUGUAAAAUCUUCUAAGUGUAGCUGACACCAGUUUCUUCUUCCUCUUAACUUUUUUCUAAAAUUAUAGAUAUUACUCCAAAGCUAUCCAAUGAAACAUGGUCUUGUAGGUCUCUUCCUCCCACUCUGCUUUGGAUUGUAAAUCUUGCCUCAGUAUCUUCCUCAGUAAACUUUGGAUGGUAAUAGUAUGAUCUUCAUGGCGUUGUUAUGAGGAUUAAAUAAUUAAUUCCAAAUAAAGUGCCCAGAAGAGUUAUCUUAAUUUUAUUAUAUAGGGAUAAAGGUGCCAUCAUCUACAGUUUAAGUAACUUAUAUAACCAUUUUAUCUUCAGACUACUUUCUAAAAAGUUUACUUGAGAAAUUCAGAAAAAUUUAAACACAUCAACUGUUUCUGAUAUCCUUUAUGCUUGCUUGCCCUUCAGUCAUGUUCCAACUCCAGAGUGUGCAUAGCCUUUAAUCCAGUGUAAUAAAUCAUGAAAUGAUUUUUUCUCAGCAAGACAAAAGGGACAUUACUUGAAAUGUUAGCAUGGCAUUGGAAUAGUGGGGAAGGCUGAUGCAAUUAUCCAGAAGGUCUGUUUAUUCCUUCUUCAUUCCUCUGUACCUUAAGAAUGGAUAGGAACAUCCUUUCUUUCCCUCUAGUGAGCUUAAGUUUCUUACUUAUAGGUGUAAGAAAAAAAAAAGUAAUAUGCUGAACUUUGAAAGGUGGAAUUUUAGAUACAGUCUGUGCUCUCAAUCACUGCAGAUUCCUGGCCACAGCAAAGAGGAAGCUUGGGUUUGCAUGUCCAGGACCUCCACCCUAAGUAUUCAGGCACUCUUUUUGACAUCAUUGCUGUUGUUACUUAGGUGUAUCUCCUUGGUUGUGUUUCUCCAUUCUGCUAUAAAAACAGCAAGUGACUCUUAGUUGAUCUGAAAUGGAAAUAAAUCUACAAUCUACUGCCUUAUUUUUCUUCACACCGCCUGAUUUUGAAGAUGCAGAGUAAAUUAAAGGUCACUCAGUGACUCAUAUCUAAACACCGCAUGGUUAAUCCUGAACAUCUACUUCCUGAGCGAUUCUAUCAGGGAGGCACCUCACGAGCAUUGUAAACACUCAGGUGAGUAAAACACGUGCAUCCUCUGCCAGCUUUCCCAGGCUUGAGUGGUGGGCAGAUUCCCAGAUUUUACAAUGCUUUUGACUUCUCUGGGACAUGUUGGGAUUUAACCACUAGUUCAAGUCUGGAGAUAAAUGAGGGCGGGGGUGGUGUUCACGGUUCUAAGUGGUAAACGGACUCUCUCUUGCAAAGUCAGCCUCUUGGUCUUCUGAGGUUGUCUUUUCCACAGAAUCUUCCAGGUGCGUUUUUAUAAUGACACUCUAUCAAGCCACUGAGAUCAACUGCCAGAGCUCAAUCUGCUACAGGAAUCUUGUGAUAAAACAGGAAGGACAGCUUGCUGAUGGGCUCUUUGAAGCAAAUGGAUCCUCUCUUUCUAAGUUGUCAGUUUUAAUGAGUGCUACAAAAAUGAGGAUUCCUUAAUGAAGCCAGGCACACCGAGAGAGGACAGGACACGUGCUUCAAACUGGAGCGUGUGAGAUGCAGGCUAAAGCUAUAUCCUAGGGGGUACAUAGCAUGCCUUCUCUACGCAAACACACACAGGUCAGGGGCUGUGUUCCUGGAGAAAGUAGAUGCCAUUAAGAUCUUGUUUGAGAAUAUUGUAUGUGAUGACAAAGCUGUUGGGAAGUAUCCCAUUGGUAACCCAGAAAGGUGUAUUGUGCUUCUUCAGAGGUGGAGGCAAACUGCAGCUUUUAUUUUCCUCACCUCUUCUUCACCAACACAGUGAAGCUCAGUGUCAUAUCACACUUUCCAACUAUUACUGAGGGGUCAUUGCUGCUUUCCUGAAACCUGGUGGCCCCUGUCUAUAACCUGUGAAAUGGUGGUAGAGCUCCACCAUCCUGGCCAGCUCACUCUAGCAAGAUACUAGGACUUCACCAUUUAUAAUCAAUACAGUACCGACCACUACAGAGAUCCCAGGGCAUUGGAACAGUAUACCUGCCACAAGGAGCAACACACAUUCAAAUAGUGGCCUGCUGCAC